UAGAGACGAGAAGGUCAGGAAUGGUCUGGUUUUGGAGCAAAUAUGGGCCAUGGCUUAAGUCUUCAGAGUGUGAACACAGCGGAACGGAGCUGGAGAAGCAAGGAGAGCUCAAGUCGGCGGAGCACGUAAACAGGUCUGUUGAAGGUUGAGCCUUGAAAGCUUGAAUAAACAUGGCUUGGGGUGAAAGGGGAGAGAGUAUAGGCCGUCCAUGGCCAGAGAAGCCAUGAACCUCGGUGUAUUUUGAUCGGAGAUGAAGGUGGGCUGCUAGGGGUUAAAGAGAGUUUGAGAGGAGAUGGAAUUUAGGGGCGGC
rnacentral:lncRNA from 1 species